ACAGCAGCAGCCGCGGGAAUACAGAGGGUGCGAGCGUUAAUCGGAUUUACUGGGCGUAAAGCGUGCGUAGGCGGCUUUUUAAGUCGGAUGUGAAAUCCCUGAGCUUAACUUAGGAAUUGCAUUCGAUACUGGGAAGCUAGAGUAUGGGAGAGGAUGGUAGAAUUCCAGGUGUAGCGGUGAAAUGCGUAGAGAUCUGGAGGAAUACCGAUGGCGAAGGCAGCCAUCUGGCCUAAUACUGACGCUGAGGUACGAAAGCAUGGGGAGCAAACAGGAUUAGAUACCCCGGUAGUCCCUGUCUCUUAUAA
rnacentral:rRNA from 1 species